ensembl:lncRNA
AUUAAAAUUUUGACCUGGCCUCCUUGUUGGCUUGUAUCUGAACAUCUCCAAGGCACCCUGUCAAUGACGUGAUCCGCCUCUGGCCACUAUCUGUACGUGGAUGGGUGACAUGUGACAGAAGGGCAGUCUGACAGAAUGGCAUCUGACAUGGCAGCACAUAUGAAGAUGUGUCACUCUACACAUGCCUCUUCCACAUGCCUCCAUGCGGAAAAAAUGGCACCCACUGACAUUCAUUGACACCUGCUGAACAUCUGUGGAGUCCAAACAGUGAAUGGUAAUGGAGCCAGCCCUGCACAGGCAAGGCCAUUCUGGAGUCACCAGGGAGCAACCAGCGAGCACCAACCAUAAGAAACUGAGUCUCUGAGGCUUCUGCAGCUCCAGAAUUGCUCCUAAGGUAACGAGACUGGGAGCUCUACCAAAUAAAACACCCUGAAGUUCUCUGCUUCUGUCUGACUUAGCAAACCGAACAAGUGAAGUGGAUAUAAAUAUCCCUGCGGCAUUUAUCAAGAAGUGAAAUUGAGCAACAAAGUAAAUUUUGGUGAUGAGGAGGUACAUUGUUGAUGGCCUUCAGAUACAACAACAGCUGCAGUAAGAAGGCCUUUCGGUUCUAGAACCUGAAGAAGGAACCUUGCAGUCCAAUUGUACUGCUGGUUACCUGCUCCCCUGACAGCACUUGAGCACUCUGUCCACACAAUGCAGUCAUUCUCUUCAGGCUGAUGAACUCUGAGGAUAUCAGUGACAAACAGCAAAGUAUUUUGAUUGCAACACAGGUCUUUGAACUAAAACUCCAGAGGAAUGUUGGCACAGGGCUAACAAUGCCGAGCAAUUAGCCUAAGUGCUCUCCCACUGAAAUGUAAUCACCCUCCACAAGGAACUAGCUCCUGCUGGGGAAAGCAAGGAGAAGGCGAAUUUGGCAAGAAGUCACCUGGCAGGCGGUCUACCAACACCUCCCUGAGUGCCACUCAGGUGCCAUGUUCACCCUCUGGAGGCUGCAUGUGAAUGAGGCCCCAGGCCCCCAGCAGUGUCUGGCUGCAUCCAAGGAGCCUCUCACAUGUUUUUCCCUUUGAGUAAAAACAGGAGGCCUGGAAAUC